AAUCCUAGCGACAGCUAAGUGCGAGUAGGUGACGAGCCGCGGUGUGUCGUGUCGGGGGCACGGGGAAGACGCUGCGCGGAGGGAAGCGGGGCGGCUGCCAGAGGGCGGGACGGGCCCGCGCCCCUCGGGUCCCCAGAGCCCACCGGGCCGGCUCCUGCCGUCCUCCCGCCACCGCCGAGCCGGGAGGCGCGGGUCGAGGGGAUCCCAAGCACAGCUAAAGACGAUUUUAGGCACAACAGCGCCCGGGGAUCGAGCACCGCUUAUUGGUCGCAACAAGUGAGGGCGCCCCCAGGCCCCUUGCCCGUGUGCUGCAACGAAUUUUCCACCCCCCAGUCUCGCCCAGCGCGGCAGCGGGGAGCAAAACCCAUCGGUGCUACCGGGCGGCGGAGCCCCUAGUAACUCAAGAUGGGGCGCCCACCCGGCCACAUUUAAAGGACCCGCGGCUGGGGCGGGCUCCGGAGCCCGGGGGUGGCCCGCUCCGGCGCCAGGCACUGCGCACCCGGGUGUGCGCCCCUUCCGGGAGGGUCUUGGGGGAAAGCGCGCUGCUCUGCGGGAGCUUCCGCUGGCAAAUCCGGGGGCUGGGGGCACACCCUCAAGUGAGGCUAGGAUGUUAAAAAAAAAAAAAAAGUGGAAACGAAGUCUCUAGUGCAAGUAGCCGCUAUGAACUCUGGAGGAGCCUGGAGACAACGCUGCCUGAAUGGUAGUGAGGAGGUGUUAGGUGCGCUGUUAACAGGGGUUGAGUGGAUUGGCAGGAACCCAGGGCCCUCCGCCCUGCCCCGAGGCUCCUUGUCGCUCCGUUAGAUCCGGCGAACAGUCCCAACUUUUGGGCCAGUCGCGGGCCGCUUUGGGGAGCAAGGGGAGGACAAGAGAGUGGAUUUUACCUCCCCCGGCCGGGGUUCGCCUUCGCCCCCGCAGGACUUGUGAACAGUGUCCUUCCAGGAGGCUUGAGAUAAAAAGAGAUCCCCCCCCCCUCAGGUGGCAAACUUUAGUGACUUUGCUAUUAAUUCAGUGCCCUGGGAAGUAGCGCCCGGACCGGUAGUGAACUCAGCAGCAGAGCGGCUCCCUCAGCCGAGGUCCUCGCUAAGAGCCAGGCACGGUUUAGUAUUCUCGCUACUUGAGAUUUGUGGCCUUGCCAGGGUUCAGGCUCCAGGAAGAGGGUUCGAAAUCCUGCGCUCCACCCCUUUCGGUUGCUGGCUCGGGUCACUAUUCUCAGCCACCAACGGGAGAAGCAACCUCUGAAACUUAAAGGCUGCACCACCUUGCUUUGAGUGGCCCGAUCCAUUUCUCCCCCAUUCUACUUUCUACUUUCCACCUCAGGGCUGAACUCAGCACUCCAGCCCAGAUGUUGAAGUUUCAGAGGGAAAAAAAAUUACAACAGGGCUCACAAUAUCACUGUUUUCCUUCGCCUGAGCCAGCUUGUUGUUGUUGUUGUUGUUGUUGUUGUUGUUGUAGGUGCUCACUUUGGUGAAAGAGAGAUCGGUCUCAAGCAGUCCACUUGCCCGUGUGCCCAGCGCCUAGUACAGCCACUUUCUUGUCCGCCACAGGUGGACACUCAGGAAAAUGUUUGUCAGUGACCCAUGAUGCUAACUUUCCAGGAAUAACACUGGACAGCGUUACAAUAAAAAUAUGUGGCUUCCGGUUCCCCAGGGAGCUCUUGGUUUUUAUUGCUAAAAGUUGUGGUUACACACUACUGGCUAUUUAAGGAACUCUGCUCAAGAGCGGGUGUUAUUUCUCUAGGAAAUAAGUCUGAAGCAGCAGUUUAAAUUAUGUGUAUGUGUGUGGUAAGUAUUUACUCAAGAUAUAGACAGAUAAAAGACAUCAGCAAAUAGCAGAUUUCUGUUGCUAGAGAUCAAUUAAAGAAUGGCUGCCUAAAUAUCCUAAGUGAAUAUAAUUAUGAAGUGGCUGUGUAGACCUCGUUUGCAGAUGAUUCAUUUCUUCCAGCGAUCAGAACUGCUUCCAUUUGUGGUAAUAACAUUAGGUAGAAGACUGGGGGCUGAUUGAACUACCUUACCCAUUUCAUUUAGGCAAGACUGUUUAGCUUAAUAUCUGAAACCUACAGCAGCAUGAAACAGCACAUUUUCUUCAUUUUAUUGCAUAGGUUCUUUAUUAGGGCUCUAAAAAAAAAAAGAAAAACUUUAAUCCCACUUUCCACAAAAUCAGUUACUAGAUAAACUCUUGAAGAAGAGUGGGAAAAAAAUAACAAUACUAUGUUCAGCAAGGUUAAUUGAACAAGAAUGUGGAUCUGAAGUCAAAUAGCUAUUUGGCCAACUGGCCAAGGUAUCAAGGGUCUAGACAAAAGCUCUUUAUCUCUAGAGCUACUCAAUAAAUAUUAGUGGCAUUAAAUCAAUCAGUUCAUUCAUUCAACAAACAUACAGAGCAAGUAUUUUGUUCUAGGUAGGCUGUUAAGCCAGGGAGAAUUGAAAGAGGAGCACUCAGUUAGUCCUUAGGGAUUCACAGGUAGCUGGGAGGCAACACAAUGCAGCUAAUGCAGCAGGGAAGCCUUCCAGAAGGAAAAGAGGGAGCGCCCCGAGGGUAAUUGAAUCAGUUUGAUUGAAGAAGCAGAGAAAGAAAAAACAUUUUUUCAAAAUUUGACUUAUGUCGUUAUUUUUUAUUUUGAAAGUAACAUGCUCAUUGUAAUAUGUAAGAGGAAAACAAAUUUUAUAACUAAUGAGUAGAGUUUAAGGCCCUGGGUUUGAUUCUCAGCACCAAAACUCAAAUAAUAAAUAUAUAUAUAUAUAUCCCCCUUUUUAAAAAUAGCAAAAUUGGGAUAUCAUCCAUGUGUCUAGAAUUUGCUAUUUUAAAAAUCAUAUCAUGGUAAUCAGCUUUCAAGAUAGUCUCUAACGAUCUAUUGCCUCCUCAUAUUUACAGCCUUGUCAACUUCUCCCACAUUGAACUAGCAUGGUCUUCGUGACCAACAGAAGAUGGCGGAAGUAGGCGCAGCUCACUGCUGAGACAGGCAUUGAAGAUUUACCAAUCGUGAUGUAAUGCAUGUCCUUCAAUAUCUGUUCAGACACAUACUUCAGGGCUCGAACUCCAGUCUUUGCGCUUGCGCAGAAGACGGCGAAACCACUGAGCUAAAUCCCCGGCCCUAACUUUGCUAUUUUAAUGUCGCUGGCCUUUCUCUUUAGCCAUUUCACACACUGUAAUUUUUAAAUGGUGGGUAAGAAUUUGCAAAGACAAUACAGGCCACUUGAGACACACAGAUGAGCUUGGACAAAGAGAAGAAAACUUGUGUGAUUUCCAUGGGGAACUUGUGAGCAUGCGCUUGUUGACCUUGAAGAAGAGUGCGCAGAGAGAGGCAGGACUAGCCCAGAAGACCUCAGAGCCGGUUUAGUGAGCCAGAACUUCUUCCUGUAGGCGAUCUCACAAGCAAAGAGAGGUUUUUACACUGAAAUUGGGAUAAUCAGAUUGCAAUUUAGAUCAGUCUCCGGCAGCUGUGUCUAGCAGGAUGGCUCUCAGGGCACAGGACUGGAAACAGACACGCCAUUUAAGAAGCUGCAAUUGUCCAGAGAAAAGCUAAUGAUGGCGUGAACUGUGGCAGCGGGUAGGUUGAGGGGAAGAGACAAAAAUGGAGAAAUAUUGAGAGUAAAAAAGAUAGGAGUUUCAAUGUGCUUGGAGCAAAGGGGUGGGAAACGGGGAAAGAAGAGAUUGGUGCGUUGGUCUUCAGCUUGGCCUCAACGUGUAUUUAGCUUGGCUUUAGAUUAUUAACAAGUGAAAAGACGUGUAGGAGGAGGAACUGAUUUAAUAGGCAAGGUACAUUUGGGUGGAACAAAACAAGUGCAAAACCUUGUGGGAGAUCUAGGUGGGGACAGCAGGAGGUAUUCAGUAGUGUGUGUGUGUGUGUGUGUGUAUGUGUGUGUGUGUGUAAAACCUUGUUAAGUUGAUCAGCACAUCCAAGGAGAGGCCUGUUAAGUAAGAAAUUAAUAAGAGCUCAUUUUUGGAAGAGCUCAGUUAACAAGCACCAAAGGCAGAAAGGAUAGCUGGCUCUCGGCCUGGAUCUCCCAGGGACCAAUGGACUUAAUAGGGUCACUCAGACUUGGGCUCAGAUUUUUAGGUCUUCAGACUUGGAAACUGGAUUUUUUGUCAGUUCUCUCAGGAAUGAUCAGGAUCUGGUCACCAGAGAGAUCUAUAUCUUGACUGUUUCUCAGGGAGCCAGUUUCUGUUAUUCCUAAGCAAGCCACAGUGGCAGCACCAAGAGCUUAGAUUCAGUCACUGCAGACUUCAAAUCCAGACUCAUUACUUCCUGGCUCUUUUGCCUUCUUUGUUUAGACAACCAGGAGGGCUCCUUUGCAGGGAGGUUUUAAAGACUGAAAGGUAACACAUGCAAAGCAUCUCAGAGAAUGCCCAGACCUCAGAUGGGUGGCUGGGAGCUCCCUUCCACUCAAGUGCUGCCGCAUCACUGCAGGUCCAUGCAGCUCUGGGCCAGAGAGGAGAUCAAGGCUGACCUUCUCACCUGGAAGGAAAGACUGGCUGUCCAGAAGUGGCCCAGCUCAUGAGCUACCAAGAAUUCAAAAAUCAUGCACAUUCUCUUUCAGGAGAGAAUCCACCUCUGUUCCUCGCUUUUCAAUACUAGCUCCAGGGAACGAGCUGGGGAAAUACCCUUCAGGGAUUGUUUCUAGUGGACUGAAGUUGCCUACAAGGAUUUCAUCUAUCACUGGAGAGCUAGGUAAUUCCCUACCCUUUGAGCUAAAUGUUGAAAAAAUGUACUACUAGACCAUGAACUAAGACUUUUUAAUCAGUGGAUAAUUUUAAAUUGCUGUGAUGGUAGAAAAGUGGGGAGAGAGAAAUAUAGCAUCUUGAGUAUAGUAUAUGUUAUGGCUUAUGUCUGGCUGUCCCCCCAAAGUCUCGCAGAGUCAUGGCAGGGGCUUUCAGAGGUGGCUGCAUCUAGAGUGUGUAUCAGUCCACUCAUUGGUUUGGCAUAGUUCUGGCUAGGAUUAAGGGAGUAUGUUCUACACCUGCCCUAGGGUGGGUAGCCUGCAUAAAAUAUAAGGGACAGAAAGAGGCCUAAUGUGCUCUCACCUGCCUGCUUGCUGUGGACUGUUUCUCUUCUGUGAUGCCCCUCUGCCAUGCUGCCUUAUCUUAGAGCCAGCUGAUUAUGGACUGAAACCUCUACAAACUGUGCGCCAAAUAAACCUUUCCUCCUUUAACUCUAGGUGUCAAGUAUUUUGUCUCAGCAACUAGAAAAGUAACUAAGACAGAAUUUGAUACCAGAGAAGUGGGGUUGUUGCUGUGACUAUACCUGAUGAUGUGGUUCAGGGGACUUUAGAGCUGGCUUGUGGGAAGAGUUUGGAAAGGCUAAGAGAUGCGAGCUGAAAAAGUAGCCCUGAAAAGCUUUAGGCUGUACUUGAUAGGAGAUUAUAGUCAGAGCUCAGAAGACAAAAAUGCUGAUAGAAAUGAUGCCAGUAAGAACCAAGCUCAGGUUUCUGCUGGGAAGGGCUACGUUGGCUGUUGGACUCCAGAACAUGUGUGUUAAGCAGUGGUAGAAAGUUUACCUGUAUUUUGCUCAUGUCCAGAGCCUUUGACUGAGACUGAGAUUAAGGGUGGCAGUUUAAUCUUGUAGAAGAAAUUUUAAGACAGUCUAAUUUUAAGGCAGAGGCAUAGCUACUCUCGGAUGCUUUUAGCCAGAUUUAUGUUGAGAAUCAAGAGCAAAGAGCUCAGCACAAUGAUUCAAGACUGUCAAUUUGUUCAGAAAGGAAGCUCCAGUAAAGCUGAGGCCUGAUGAAGCAGAGGAGAAAUUUGUCAUUGAAAAGAUUAGGAAGAAAAAGCCAAGUAUUUCAGAAGAACACAACAAAAAAGAUAGGCCAGGGAUAACACAAGAAACAGCAGGACUCCACCCUUUGUAGCUUCAGAGUUUCAAAGGUGAAAGACUUUGCUUUGAGAAAAGAGCUCCAGAGCACCAUGUUUCAGAAUGGCAACAGCCUAGAGAAUUUGUUCCUUGGGAUUGAGUUCAGAGUGUUCAGCGAUCCAGGUACUCGACCCAUACAGCCAAGAGAGAAGGAAGCCUGGCUACUGCUCCAGCUGGUAGCAGAUCUUGCAUCAUCCACAUGGUGCUGGUUUUAGGUGCAUGCAGAAUGCAAGAGUUGUGAGGUCAGGAAGGCUUCCACCCAGAUUUCAGAAGAUGCCCCUAAGAUUUCAGGCAGGGUGCCCCUAAGAGGGCAGUGUGUGAAGCUAUGAAUGUGGAGCCAAACGUGCAGUGGAGCCAAACAUACAGUGGAAGUUUGGAGAAGCCAGGAAUGUGGAUUAUCUGAGGAAAACUGCAAGGAGGGAGCAGAGCCAGCCUAAGAGAGAAGCUGUGGGAACUACAACCGCUGGGUGGGGAUGGAGCCACUGAAGCCCUUUGGAGUUCACAUCUUGCAACAGAUUGCCUUGGAUGCUGGACAUGGAACUACAGGACUUAAUGUUUGCCCUGCUGGAUUUUGGUCUUGCUUUGGUCCCUUCCUUGUUAUCCCCCUAUUUGUACCUUUUGGAAUGGAAAUGUUUAUCUUGUGCCAUUCAACGUUGGAAGUGUUUAACCUUUUCGUUUGUACAGGGGCUUGCAGUUAAGAGUUUGCCUUAAACCUCAGAGGAGACUUUGGACCUGGACUUUUCAACAGUGCUGAAACUGUUAGGACUUUGGCAACUCUCGGAGAUGGACUAAAUGCCUUUUGCAUAAAGGGACGUGCAUGAGUCUGGGGGCCAAGGGCAGAAUGUUAUGGCUGUGCCUAGAUGUCCUACCAAAGCCUCAUGGAGUCAUGGGGGUGGGGGGCUUUUCAGAGGGGGCUGGAUCUAGAAUGUGUGGUGCUGGGAUCAAGAUUGACUACUAAAUCAGUCCACUGAUUGGUCUGGCGUAGUUCUGGCUAGAAUUGAGGGUGUGAGUGCUACACUUGCCUUGGGGUGAAUAGCCUGCAUAAAAUACGAGGGACAGAAAGAGCCUAAAGUGCUGUUACCUGCCUGGCUGCCAUGGACCAUUUCUCCUCUGCCAUGCCACCCUGCCAUGGAGCCAGCUAACUGUGGACUGAAACCUCUACAAACUGUGAGCCAAAUAAACCUUUCCUCCUUUAACUCUGGGUGUCGGGUAUUUUGUUUCACUCAUGAGAAAGGUAACUAAGACAGUAUCUAAAAAGAUUUGAAUAAAUGUCAGAAAAUGUAAGCUGGUUAUGUGGGGGUAGGGAGAAAGAAAAGUGCAGCUCUUGCCACCACAAAGGGGCUCAUUCCAAACCAAGUGUGGAAAGCCCUCUAAAGGCUCUCAGAGAAGGGACACAGGAUUUUUCACAGGCCAUGCACAAUGACUUCACCAACUAUGGAACAGGCACUGGAGUAGUUGGGCUGGAACCAGUCCUUGCACCUGCUUAGUGUCUCCCCUAGAAACAAUCCCUUGUAAAAGGCAACCUGUCCAUCAUUAUUUGCCUGAUCCUGCAGAUAUAAGUUUUUAUAGCAUGAGACACAGUGCCAUCAUGUUGAUUUUCCCGACUCGUGCAUGUGUAUGUUUUCAAGUGUUGGAUCUUUCAGAAUGUAGUGUCAUCUACUGUAGAGGAGAGAAGCAGAGAAGUAAGACUUAGGCCUCUCAUGCAAAGUACCUAUAAAUUAUGGUUCUGAAUUCCUAUUAAACACUCUUCAAUCCGUUUUCUUAUUUAUUUAGGACUUAUAAUAACUAACAAAUGUCAAAGCCACUGAAUCAGCAAAUGCUCAUAAAUCAAUACUUGAUAAUACAUGAAAGAUCUACAACCAAGAUAUACAGAAUUAUAAAUUGAUUCAAAUUAAUGCAAAUAAUGGCAUUUCUCUAUUAAUUAAUUAAAUUCCAACUAGUUAUACAAAUUUAAAUAUGCUUAACAAGCAGAAAGGUUUUUAAACAUGCACUUUACUACACUGAGAAAGAGGCCCCAGAUUCUCUCAGGCUGGCACUAUAGAGACUUCCCGGUAAGGAAAAAGGAUUAUACCACAUGAUCCCUGGGGGCAGCCUCUCAUUAAUUACCAUCAGCACCCACAGGCCUCUCGCAGCACCGCUGGCCCUUUAAUUCUAGGCCCGAGUGUCAGUGCAGGGCCCUCUUAAGGUCCCAUAGUACCCAUCAGUGGUCAGCCUCAAAGACAUUUUUAAAAGACUGCUAAAAAUAAGAGCUGACUGACAAACAUUAAAAAGACUUUACUAAGAUAAAAAGUAUUAGCAAAAAGACAAGACAAAAGGCAUGAGAAUAAAUAAUAUGCCUCACAGGAUGAGUCCACUCAGCCUUCCGGUGGUCAAAGGAAUCUUCCCUAGCUCCCAUCCUGCUUCCUCCCAUUCCCAGGAAUGCAUUCUUGGACAGGCAGAAGCCUUUGAGGACAAACUGAGUAGAGGAUGAGAAAGGCAAUGAAAUAUCUCCUUUUCCAUCCACUUAAUAAUCUUUGACCUCAGUUUCAGUCCCCUGCAUAAGGACUCACCUCUUUGGCCAUUAAUUUGCUGUGAGAAACAAUUGGGAAAAGACCGAGACCAGCAAAAGAUUAUUUGGUGUCCUUUCAGUGGAAUAAUGGUAGUUCUUACCAUUAUUAGCAGUUCUGGGUUGCCUGAUUCUAUGGCCUGUGUUUAUCAAUGUCUUUGACUAGAUCAUAUUUAUGAUUCUGUGAAUUAUAGAAAACUGUUCACGAUACAAAUUAUUCUAAUUCGUAGAAACUGCAAUGAAUGUUGUUCUGUGGAAAUGCAACUGAUCACUGAGAGAUGACUCCAAAUCUCAAAUUUUACUGUCCUGUGGAUAUGCACCAGUUUUGCUCCUACUACUGAAUUUAUUUCAGCACUCGGUGGACACCUAUAUGUAUCUGAACUUUGGUUUCUUUGAGCUAGUUGUAAUAUCUUACACAUGUUACAUAAAUAAGUUCAAUAAAACCUUUGAUACAUGUUCAUAUACUGCUACGAAAAUCACGAUCACCAUUUUGAAAAUGAUCCUUUAAUGGCCACACACAGGGAUACAGCUUUAUUUGCCUCCACAGGGUAACUAUUAUUUCUAUGGAACAUGACAAUUCUUGUUCCUUAUAGGAUGUAACACCAUAAGUUAACAGUAAAGUCAUUUCAUUUAAGGAACAUUAUGAAGUGGAGAGAAGGGGUAGUUAUGCUAAAAAAGAGGCUGAGAAUAAUGUCUAAAAUUGGGCAUGAAAUUAAAG